GACGAACGCUGGCGGCGUGCUUAACACAUGCAAGUCGAACGGAAAGGCCCUGCUUUUGUGGGGUGCUCGAGUGGCGAACGGGUGAGUAACACGUGAGUAACCUGCCCUUGACUUUGGGAUAACUUCAGGAAACUGGGGCUAAUACCGGAUAGGAGCUCCUGCUGCAUGGUGGGGUUGGAAAGUUUCGGCGGUUGGGGAUGGACUCGCGGCUUAUCAGCUUGUUGGUGGGGUAGUGGCUUACCAAGGCUUUGACGGGUAGCCGGCCUGAGAGGGUGACCGGCCACAUUGGGACUGAGAUACGGCCCAGACUCCUACGGGAGGCAGCAGUGGGGAAUAUUGCACAAUGGGCGGAAGCCUGAUGCAGCAACGCCGCGUGCGGGAUGAAGGCCUUCGGGUUGUAAACCGCUUUCGCCUGUGACGAAGCGUGAGUGACGGUAAUGGGUAAAGAAGCACCGGCUAACUACGUG
rnacentral:rRNA from 1 species